UGGUGUAGAACAGGCUCUCUGGAGGCGGUUUGUAACUGUGGUCACAAAAAUCAAUGUUCUGGGAGAACGGGAAUCAGCUCCAUUUUUUGGGGGCCCUUUACACAGCUCAAGGUCUGGGUCCCAGGGUCCACCUUCAUGUUCCACCAAUGAGUUUGUUCACAGGGGGUGGAUUGUGUAGGGGAUGUCCUGAUAUGUGUGUAAGGAAUGCAUUGUGUGAAUCUGUGUUUGUAUGUGUAAG